rnacentral:rRNA from 1 species
UACGUAGGUGGCAAGCGUUAUCCGGAAUUAUUGGGCGUAAAGAGCGCGCAGGUGGUUGAUUAAGUCUGAUGUGAAAGCCCACGGCUUAACCGUGGAGGGUCAUUGGAAACUGGUCGACUUGAGUGCAGAAGAGGGAAGUGGAAUUCCAUGUGUAGCGGUGAAAUGCGUAGAGAUAUGGAGGAACACCAAUGGCGAAGGCAGGUCUCUGGGCAGUUACUGACGCUCAUGCGCGAAAGCUGGGGUAGCGAACCGGAUUAGA